rnacentral:rRNA from 1 species
GACGAACGCUGGCGGCGUGCCUAAUACAUGCAAGUCGAACGCAGUGGGGACGGGUUAGUAACCCGUCGGUAAACUCCCAUCAGAGGGGAAAACCCUUGGAAACAGGUGCUAAACCGAUACUGAUGGAUGGACCAGCGGUGCAUUAGCUAUUGGGUGAGGAAACGGCUCACCAAGGACACGGUGCAUAGCCGCGCUGAGAGGGGUAUCGGCCACACGGGGACUGAGACACGGUCCAGACUCAUACGGGAGGCAGCAGGAGGGAAUCUUCGGCAAUGGACGAAAGUCUGACGGAGAAACGCCGAGUGAGUGAAGAAGGUUUUCGGAUCGUAAAACUCUGUUGUUAGAGAAGCGGUAUCUAACCAGAAAGCCACGGCUAACUACGUGCCAGCCGCCGCGGUAAUAC